UUUUAUGGAGAGUUUGAUCCUGGCUCAGAGUGAACGCUGGCGGCGUGCCUAAUACAUGCAAGUCGAACGAUGAAGCUUCUAGCUUGCUAGAAGUGGAUUAGUGGCGCACGGGUGAGUAACGCAUAGGUUAUGUGCCUCUUAGUUUGGGAUAGCCAUUGGAAACGAUGAUUAAUACCAGAUACUCCCUACGGGGGAAAGAUUUAUCGCUAAGAGAUCAGCCUAUGUCCUAUCAGCUUGUUGGUAAGGUAAUGGCUUACCAAGGCUAUGACGGGUAUCCGGCCUGAGAGGGUGAACGGACACACUGGAACUGAGACACGGUCCAGACUCCUACGGGAGGCAGCAGUAGGGAAUAUUGCUCAAUGGGGGAAACCCUGAAGCAGCAACGCCGCGUGGAGGAUGAAGGUUUUAGGAUUGUAAACUCCUUUUGUUAGAGAAGAUAAUGACGGUAUCUAACGAAUAAGCACCGGCUAACUCCGUGCCAGCAGCCGCGGUAAUACGGAGGGUGCAAGCGUUACUCGGAAUCACUGGGCGUAAAGAGCGCGUAGGCGGGAUAGUCAGUCAGGUGUGAAAUCCUAUGGCUUAACCAUAGAACUGCAUUUGAAACUACUAUUCUAGAGUGUGGGAGAGGUAGGUGGAAUUCUUGGUGUAGGGGUAAAAUCCGUAGAGAUCAAGAGGAAUACUCAUUGCGAAGGCGACCUGCUGGAACAUUACUGACGCUGAUUGCACGAAAGCGUGGGGAGCAAACAGGAUUAGAUACCCUGGUAGUCCACGCCCUAAACGAUGGAUGCUAGUUGUUGGAGGGCUUAGUCUCUCCAGUAAUGCAGCUAACGCAUUAAGCAUCCCGCCUGGGGAGUACGGUCGCAAGAUUAAAACUCAAAGGAAUAGACGGGGACCCGCACAAGCGGUGGAGCAUGUGGUUUAAUUCGAAGAUACACGAAGAACCUUACCUAGGCUUGACAUUGAGAGAAUCCGCUAGAAAUAGUGGAGUGUCUAGCUUGCUAGACCUUGAAAACAGGUGCUGCACGGCUGUCGUCAGCUCGUGUCGUGAGAUGUUGGGUUAAGUCCCGCAACGAGCGCAACCCCCUUUCUUAGUUGCUAACAGGUCAUGCUGAGAACUCUAAGGAUACUGCCUCCGUAAGGAGGAGGAAGGUGGGGACGACGUCAAGUCAUCAUGGCCCUUACGCCUAGGGCUACACACGUGCUACAAUGGGGUGCACAAAGAGAAGCAAUACUGCGAAGUGGAGCCAAUCUUCAAAACGCCUCUCAGUUCGGAUUGUAGGCUGCAACUCGCCUGCAUGAAGCUGGAAUCGCUAGUAAUCGCAAAUCAGCCAUGUUGCGGUGAAUACGUUCCCGGGUCUUGUACUCACCGCCCGUCACACCAUGGGAGUUGUGUUUGCCUUAAGUCAGGAUGCUAAACUAGCUACUGCCCACGGCACACACAGCGACUGGGGUGAAGUCGUAACAAGGUAACCGUAGGUGAACCUGCGGUUGGAUCACCUCCUUUCUAGA
rnacentral:rRNA from 1 species